AACGAACGCUGGCGGCAUGCCUAACACAUGCAAGUCGAACGAGACCUUCGGGUCUAGUGGCGCACGGGUGCGUAACGCGUGGGAACCUGCCCUUAGGUUCGGAAUAACUCCCCGAAAGGGGUGCUAAUACCGGAUAAUGUCUUCGGACCAAAGAUUUAUCGCCUUUGGAUGGGCCCGCGUUGGAUUAGCUAGUUGGUAGGGUAAAAGCCUACCAAGGCGACGAUCCAUAGCUGGUCUGAGAGGAUGAUCAGCCACACUGGGACUGAGACACGGCCCAGACUCCUACGGGAGGCAGCAGUGGGGAAUAUUGGACAAUGGGCGAAAGCCUGAUCCAGCAAUGCCGCGUGAGUGAUGAAGGCCUUAGGGUUGUAAAGCUCUUUUACCCGGGAUGAUAAUGACAGUACCGGGAGAUUAAGCUCCGGCUAACUCCGUG
rnacentral:rRNA from 1 species